AGUUUUCAAGGGGGCUACCGUUGACCUCAUGUCUGACGAGGAUGACUGCCUUGUCGAUGGGGUUGCGGUGUGGCUGGCGCGUCUGGAAGCCAACCCCAAGUACUUGCUGUCUCACCACAGAAGAGUGAAAGAGGUUCCCGGAAGCCAGUUUUGAUGCAGGAGGAGAACGCGAGGGCUCAGCAGGGACCGCAGCGAAUGUGGAUUUCAAACGUUGCGCUUAUUGUGCAUAUUGUAUAAUAUUGUACAGCACUGUGUUUGUUGUGCAGGUUAGUUUUCAAUUAUUUUCUUAUCACAAUGUAAGCUUUAUUUUAUUG